rnacentral:rRNA from 1 species
UACGUAGGGGGCUAGCGUUGUCCGGAUUCAUUGGGCGUAAAGGGUGCGUAGGUGGCGCCGUAAGUCGGGUGUGAAAUUUCGGAGCUUAACUCCGAAACUGCAUUCGAUACUGCGGUGCUUGAGGACUGGAGAGGAGACUGGAAUUCAUGGUGUAGCAGUGAAAUGCGUAGAGAUCAUGAGGAAGACCAGUGGCGAAGGCGGGUCUCUGGACAGUUCCUGACACUGAGGCACGAAGGCCAGGGGAGCAAACGGG